UCCCUGGUGGCCUAGGGGUUAGGGUUCCGGGCUUUCACCGUGGUGGUCCAGGUUUAGUCCCUGGUCAAGGAA
rnacentral:tRNA from 1 species